CCUACGGGGUGCAGCAGUGGGGGAUAUUGCACAAUGGGGGAAACCCUGAUGCAGCGACGCCGCGUGUGGGAAGACGGUCUUCUGGAUUGUAAACCACUGUCCCCAGGGACGAAAAUGACGGUACCUGGGGAGGAAGCUCCGGCUAACUACGUGCCAGCAGCCGCGGUAAUACGUAGGGAGCAAGCGUUGUCCGGAAUUACUGGGUGUAAAGGGAGCGUAGGCGGGGAUGCAAGUUGGGUGUCAAAACUACCGGCUCAACCGAUAGUCGCACUCAAAAAUGCAACUCUUGAGUGAAGUCGAGGCAGGCGGAAUUCCUAGUGUAGCGGUGAAAUGCGUAGAUAUUAGGAGGAACACCAGUGGCGAAGGCGGCCUGCUGGGCUUUUACUGACGCUGAGGCUCGAAAGUGUGGGGAGCAAACAGGAUUAGAUACCCCAGUAGUC
rnacentral:rRNA from 1 species